CCAAGCCUGUUGAGGCAAAUAGUGAAACACCUGGUGAGACUCGGUGCCUGGAUCCGCUCUGUGAGCAAACAGGGAAAGCUCUAAGCAAAUAAGACAGCUGUGGGAAAUGAGAGUGAGGAGAGGAAUCGAAGAGCAGCAGCACUUCUGGACGAGCAAGUUAGGGAGCUGCUGACCUUCACCAUGUGCUUUUACGUGACGUGUCCAUGAGUGUCUUCUAAUGUGAAGGGCAGGGAAUGAACAGAAGGAAAACUGUCUGAGGGAGAGCGUAGAGGAAUGUGGUGAAAGGCAGGGAGCCAACAGCUGGCACAGGUGAGCAGCACAGUGCACAGGGAGCUUGGGUUUGACACCUCGAUGAAAGACAACCAGUGAAGGUCAUACCCAGCCAGAACUCAUCCUCCAAGUUUCCAAAGCCAACCCGGUAAUCUGCCCAUUUUCGGAAGAAAUCAGUCAGCCCGUUCUGCCGCCGCUGGAAGACCUGAGGUGGAGGAAGACCACGGGGAAAAUCAGUGUGAUGGAGUGACUUCUUGAAGACAAGUCCUUGUUCUCAGCAAAGUGUCCUGAUGCGUUGCCAGAGUAAAUUGAAUCCCAGAUCUUGAUGCUUCACUCAGGGGUGUGUGCAUGGAUUGCAUUGCCUUGGUGAUAGUUCCUGGGUGCUUCUGUCUCAUUGAUAUUGGGCUCCAUGUGGCAGAUUCCUGAGCCCUUGAAGGUCCUGGGAGGGCAGAGAGUCAACAUGGAGGAACCUGAUGUCCUGCCACACUGAAGAGCUUCAAGCUGAAUAAGUGAGCUUUUUUUGUCUCUAUUUGGCACCCAGAAAGAUCUUUGGUGGAGGUGCAUGACUUGGAGGUGCCUGAUUUGGAGGUGCAUUACUUGGAGGUGCAUCACUUGUGGAUAAGCAGCACCCAAAUCCAGACCCACGCAGGGGAAAAUGAGCUACAUCCCAAGGAAAACCUUCUCUCCAGUGUUGACAACGUGUUAAAUAACGUGGGGCCAAGGACAGAUCCAAGCAUUUAGAACUGAGGAACAUCUCUAGAAAUGUUCCUGCUUCGGUGCCAGCUCCUGGUUUGUCCUUAAGCUGAGGGAUCAACUUGUAAAGCUGUUGAUGUCUUGGCUGUGGGGAGAGAGGAGAAAAUGCAGCUGCUCUGGUGAGUCUUCAUAACUAGCUGGGUGUGGGCUAUGGUGGGUGUCUAACAAACUCCCUCAGAUAAAAGGUUUUUAGGUAAAUUCAUACCAGGGAUCUACCGGGAGACACUUUCAGAUGUUUCUGCUUUCUUUUGCAGAGAAUUGGGCCCUUCCCUCCUCCAGAGCCCCCAGCACUCAACCUUUGAACAUCGUGGACUGAAGCCUGGCUGAUGGAUGCUUGGAGCCCAGCAGGACUUAAACACUGCAUGGAUGGAUGGGGCCAAGCCUGGCCAUUGCUCCUGUGCCAUGGCAGUGCUGAUGCCUGCUGGGCAGCCUGUUUUAUCACUUGCAUGAUCACAAGGUGGGUGAGAAAGCCCACUCUGGUUCUGUAAUUCAGAAUAUACUGUAUAUCUAUAUACAUCUAGUAUAGUGAAUAUAAGAGAAAAUGACUAUAUAAUAAGGGUGUGCUGAAUGCUGCAUGCCAGGGUCAGAAGUUCUGUGGGAGAAUCUGUGUGGGCAGGGGUGAGAAGGACCAGGGAGGGUUGGAAAAAGACAUGUGGGGGAAUUUGGAACAGUGGGGUAAGGUCUGAGGGCAAAACAGCAACGGAGGAGGGAGGGCAGCUGGGAAGCACAGUGUUUAGGUAGGAGCUGGGUGUCCAGGACCAGGUCACGCUUAUCCAAACCCUGAAUCUCAAACUACUUCACGUUGUCCAGUCAUCCAGGUGAUGCACAUCUACUUAGCUGUGUGGCAUAAAACCAUGGCUUUUCUGCUUGCUCCCGGCACUAGGUGUUGAGGCAGAACAAGGAUGAUGAGGAUUAAGCUGUGGGGGUGCUGCAGAGGAAGGCAGACAUGCCAGCACAGGGAUGCCUUCAGGGAGCAGAAAGCUGGGAGCCACCACGCCACCUGUGCUCCCUGCAAAGGUCAACCUCGGAGUUCGAAGUACCAGCCUCUGUAUUUUGUGCUGACAUCCAUGGGAAAGGAAGAUUUGGGCUUGACCAGGAGAUGUCUCUGUUAAGCCACGUCGAGCUGAGUGUGCACGCAAAGCGGGAGGAGAGGACUGAGCCGAGGAAGCUCAGACCUGCAGCAAACCACUGCUGGUGGAGGGACCCUCCCUUCGCUCUCACCACUGCCUCAAAUUAGCAGCCUGAAGAGCAUCACCUUGUUACAGCCCUCCAGCAGCUAUUUAAGUGCUUUUUCUGUUUGGAACAGCUUGGGUGGAGGUAGUAGACGUCUGCCUGACUGCCAAGGCAGACUGCAGCAGGUCUGGCGUGGAGAGCCCCUUCUCCCAGUGAGCUCUGCCCACUGCUGCAUCUCCUUCGGCGAGGAGAAGACACAGUUUUCUCUGGUCUACAGGAUGGACCAGGGACUGGGCAAAUGAAUUGGUUAGGAAGGGACACGCUGUUGCUCCUGGCUCCCGGCCCUGCUGCCUGAUUUGCGUGAAUAGGUGGGAGUAGAGGGCAUUUAGUGGAACAAAAACAGGUGGGAGUUUUAAUCUGUUAUAUAUGAGUAAGUAAUACAUUUAUAGAGAUAUUUCUUGAGGGCUUGCAGCCUCUGAAAUGUGAGAUUAGCAGAGAAGAAGAAUUUAUCCAGCUAUAUAAUAAAAGCAGACCCGAGUCUUCACUCCCAACCCCAUUAACCUCGCCACGGUUUCUGUGCUUGUGGCAAUUCAGGAGGGAGAGGGACAAAAUACUGCAUGAAGAAGCUGGUGCUGCAGUGCUUGGGCACCGGGGUGCUGCUACUUUUAUCCCAGCCCAUGCAGUGCCAGGCUGCUCUUGCUGAUAGGAUCUUAUUUUUGGAACCAAGCCCUGGGCUCUGUCGUGCUCCCCCAGGUCAGGCUCACUCACGGGUUGAGACGCUGUCGGAGGUGGGAGGGCUCCUGGCUUGUUCCUUCAGGGCCACCACGGUGACAGUGUACUCCUCCCCCGGCUUCAGCCCCGUCUGGUUGAAGGUGGUGACAGUGCUGGGCAGCUGAGCAAUCACACCACCCUCGUUAUUCUGCCAGGGAGUGGAAAUAAGCAUUAAAAAAAAAACCCACAAAAAUGGUGUUUUGGGGGACUGAUGCAUGGAGAGGAGGUGCCCCCCCCCCCCCUCCACGUCACAUUCUUCCAUGGCCAGCCGUGCAUCCCCAGAUCACAUCCCACCAUGGAGGUGCAGAAACCCAGGGUGAAGUCACCCACCAAGCAGGGAGCACCCAUGUUGUUGGGCUGCAAAAUCCUUCCCCAUCGCUUCCCCCCUCAGCUUCUGUAUUUUGCCAUCUGUGUCUCUGCUGUUCUUCAGAAGGGAAGAGAGAAUAAAAACAAAGCCUUGGCUAGA